rnacentral:rRNA from 1 species
CCUACGGGCGGCAGCAGUGAGGAAUAUUGGUCAAUGGACGAGAGUCUGAACCAGCCAAGUAGCGUGAAGGAUGACUGCCCUAUGGGUUGUAAACUUCUUUUAUAUGGGAAUAAAAUGUUCCACGUGUGGGAUUUUGUAUGUACCAUAUGAAUAAGGAUCGGCUAACUCCGUGCCAGCAGCCGCGGUAAUACGGAGGAUCCGAGCGUUAUCCGGAUUUAUUGGGUUUAAAGGGAGCGUAGGUGGAUUGUUAAGUCAGUUGUGAAAGUUUGGGGCUGAACCGUAAAAUUGCAGUUGAAACUGGCAGUCUUGAGUACAGUAGAGGUGGGCGGAAUUCGUGGUGUAGCGGGGAAAUGCGUAGAGAUCACGAAGAACGCCGAUUGCGAAGGCAGUGCACUGGACUGCAACUGACACUGAGGCUCGAAAGUGUGGGUAUCAAACAGGAUUAGAUACCCGGGUAGGC